rnacentral:rRNA from 1 species
UUAACACAUGCAAGUCGAGCGAAGCAGUAAAGAAGAUUCUUCGGAUGAUUCUUAACUGACUGAGCGGCGGACGGGUGAGUAACGCGUGGGUGACCUGCCCCAUACCGGGGGAUAACAGCUGGAAACGGCUGCUAAUACCGCAUAAGCGCACAGAGCUGCAUGGCUCGGUGUGAAAAACUCCGGUGGUAUGGGAUGGGCCCGCGUCUGAUUAGGCAGUUGGCGGGGUAACGGCCCACCAAACCGACGAUCAGUAGCCGGCCUGAGAGGGCGACCGGCCACAUUGGGACUGAGACACGGCCCAAACUCCUACGGGAGGCAGCAGUGGGGAAUAUUGCACAAUGGGGGAAACCCUGAUGCAGCGACGCCGCGUGAGCGAAGAAGUAUUUCGGUAUGUAAAGCUCUAUCAGCAGGGAAGAUAAUGACGGUACCUGACUAAGAAGCCCCGGCUAACUACGUGCCAGCAGCCGCGGUAAUACGUAGGGGGCAAGCGUUAUCCGGAUUUACUGGGUGUAAAGGGAGCGUAGACGGCAAGGCAAGUCUGAUGUGAAAACCCAGGGCUUAACCCUGGGACUGCAUUGGAAACUGUCUGGCUCGAGUGCCGGAGAGGUAAGCGGAAUUCCUAGUGUAGCGGUGAAAUGCGUAGAUAUUAGGAAGAACACCAGUGGCGAAGGCGGCUU